AUUUUAUGAUUCUCUGAUCCAUUCAGUGCCACUCAAGUGGUAUCCAUCUCCUUGCUUGUGUUGCAAACCCACACCUGUUUCCCAACAGCUAUUGUGAUCACCGAGCAGCCGGUCUCUGUCUCCGUUCCUGUUGGGUACUCCUUCACUCUUCACUGCAGAGCUGAGGCCCACACCUCACUGCAGUACCAGUGGUUUUGUCAGUGCCAGGUAAUGUUGUGAGCAGGGGUGACUUUCCUCACUGCAUUGGGCCAGCGCCAUGCCCUGCAGUGAGGGGAGCUGGCUCUCUGUGAGCAAUGCAGUGGGCAGCGGGAGGCUGGAAAAGAAUAGAGGAAAUGUGGUACUACAGAUGUGCUUGCCAAGGGUUUCCACUGGUUUGUGCUCCCCAUAUCAUUGUGAGGAGGUGACACAACCAGGGAUUCCAGCUUUUCCUGCCUUUAAAGGGGCUUGCUAGUGUCUUCUGCUACCAGCAGUGAUGGGGGGACUUGCUGCCCACUGCCUGUGUUUUCCCUGUAGUCUGUCUGCCACCAGAUUCCCGGAGCCACCAAGCAAGACUUGCCCAUCACUGCACAGAAGACCAAACUCUACACUUGCAGAAUUAACGACCUCUACAGAAAUGUGAUCUUCUCUGACUGGGUGAAGGUGGAGGUUCAUCCAUGUGUUGCCAGAGGACUACUCCCUCAGCUCUGGCAAGGAGAACCAAUCAUCAUCCUCAACCCCACUGAGCAGAAGGUGGAAGUCGGAAAACCACUACAGCUGCAGUGUGCUGCCAUUGGGGUCCCAGCCCCCAGCUACCAGUGGUACCGAAAUGGGAAC
rnacentral:lncRNA from 1 species